rnacentral:rRNA from 1 species
CCUACGGGUGGCAGCAGUAGGGAAUUUUGCGCAAUGGGCGAAAGCCUGACGCAGCAACACCGCGUGAAUGUUAAGCCCUUCGGGGUGUAAAGUUCUGUCAAUAGGGACGAAUUUUGACUGUACCUAUAAAGGAAGCACCGGCUAACUCCGUGCCAGUAGCCGCGGUAAUACGGGGGGUGCAAGCGUUGUCCGGAAUCAUUGGGCGUAAAGCGUUCGUAGGCGGCAAGGUAAGUCUGAUGUUAAAGGCGGAAGCUCAACUUCCGUAGGGCACUGGAUACUGGCGAGCUUGAAUGCGGUAGAGGUAAAGGGAAUUCCUGGUGUAGCGGUGAAAUGCGUAGAUAUCAGGAGGAACAUCGGUGGCGUAAGCGCUUUACUGGGCCGUAAUUGACACUGAGGAACGAAAGCCGGGGUAGCAAAUGGGAUUAGAUACCCUUGUAGUC